rnacentral:misc_RNA from 1 species
ACCAUUUUCUUUUCAUCAUUAAAGCUAUUGUUGAGGCAUAUUAUUAUGGAGUCUUCUAAGCCACAACAUCACGCAGUUAUAUUCCCUUUUAUGUCCAAAGGCCACACCAUCCCACUCCUCCACCUAGCCCACCUCCUCCUCCGUCGUGGGACUGCCGUCACUGUCUUUACAACUCCGGCCAAUCAUCCUUUCACUGCUAAAUUUCUUUCCAAUACCACUGCCUCUAUUAUUGAUCUUCCUUUCCCUGAAAAUGUACCUGAAAUCCCUUCAGGCAUCGAAAGUACGGACAAACUAC